GACGAACGCUGGCGGCGUGCCUAAUACAUGCAAGUCGAACGCAGUGGGGACGGGUGAGUAACACGUGGGUAACCUCCCAUCAGAGGGGAUAACACUUGGAAACAGGUGCUAAACCGAUACUGAUGGAUGGACCCGCGGUGCAUUAGCUAGUUGGUGAGGUAACGGCUCACCAAGGCCACGAUGCAUAGGCGACCUGAGAGGGGGAUCGGCCACAGUGGGACUGAGACACAGGCAGGACGCCUACGGGAGGCAGCAGUAGGGAAUCGUCGGCAAUGGACGAAAGUCUGACCGACCAACGUCGCGUGAGUGAAGAAGGUUUUCGGGUCGUAACACUCUGUUGUUAGAGAAGCGGUAUCUAACCAGAAAGCCACGGCUAACUACGUGCCAGCAGCCGCGGUAAUAC
rnacentral:rRNA from 1 species